ensembl:lncRNA
CGGUUCUAUGUAGGUAGCCCUCAGAUCUGCUAAGCAAAAAGGUAAAAGUGAUGCAACAGCAAAAUGUCCACUAGAUGCCAGGCUUCCUUUGCAGAGCAGAGCAGCUGCACAGCUUUGCAAAGCUUUACACAAAUAGCCUCUCUCUCCGAUGUAGUGGACACAAGCUGUAGUGUUUAGCACCAAAUCCUACUACCUUUUGGGUUCAGUGACAAACCCUCUGGAUUUAUCCCUGCUAUCUCCCAGAAGUUUUCAAGAAGGGCAAAAGACAUUUCAGAAGAACUAAAUAUAGGAGCUGUUGGUAAGAAGAACUGGGUUUUUCUACGUCCCUUAUUUCUGUAUCAGUAGAAAGCUCCCAGAGAAGAGACCGGAAUGAGUUGUGUAGCUGACACACUCGAUCAGCAAACAAACCUAGUUGAACAGUAGCAUGGAUGAUUGCUGACCCUGCCUCCUGUACUCCCAGUGCCACCAUCAACAGGACAAGAAAUGCACCAAGACACUAAUGAAGUCACCCCUACUCCAGACAGCAGUAGAUCCUCCACAUCUCAAAACUCACCUCAUCUACAAAUGUCUGAAAUUGUCCUGACACCUGAAGGCACUGUAAGAAAAGUGAGUGCUAACCAAGAGGACUCUUCAGAGACCGAAGCACGCCACAAGCCCCCUUGCUCUGAAAAUCCAAAGGCUUCUGCUCUGAAUCUACAAUUUUGCUGAACUCAGCUGUGACAUGAAGGGGCAAGAAGCAGUGAUGCCAGGUUUCCUCCAGCCCCCGACUGUCCCUGUCACCCGGUGCCAGAUGGGAAGUGAGAGCUCAGCCGAUCCACCUCUUUGUGGUGGAAACCCCCCGAGCUUCGGCUACAGGUUACUGAAGCCUUCAUGAAAAAUUCAGAACUGGUAUAACAAGCUCGCUGAAAGUAAAAUGCGUGUCACAUUAUCCACCCCCCCUCCCUUUUCGCUAGCACUGAACUGCCAUCACCAAGAGGUAGAAAUGCUGUUGGUGCAAACUUUUGUAGGGAUAUACAAGCAGAAAGGAGAAGAAAGAAAGGCAUUAAACUCAGUGUAAAAACUAAGGGGCAAUAAAAGAACACAAAAAAUGGAUUUAGAGACAGAUACGGGAAGGGGGACACUGGAAAUUACUGUAACAACUGAGACAUGGAUGUAUUUUAUGCCUUUCUCAGCAGCUAAGCCCUUACUGCUAUUAUGUAUUACAUGUCAUUUAUGAGUGGUAAAUAUCUGAAAGAUCUUAGAUUCUACAUGUAGUGUCUUUUAAAGAUGGGAUUUGAUGUAACAGGAAGAGACCAAGCAAAAAAUAGCAGAAAGAAAAACAGCCCAAGGAGAAACUUCAUGCAAAUGCAAGGGGAUCUAUGCUCAACAUGGGCUUCUUAUGUCUGCACUCUGCAUGGGUGUGAUUAUAGGGAAAAACUUAAAUAAGAGAUGGAUGAGUUAGUGAGGUUGUCCAGGAUCCCCUGGUGGGAUAAGCAAAGGCUGUAUGGGACACUGGUUCUUUCCUCAUCAAGGCUUCAGCUUCCAAGGAAAUACUUCACAUUGUGUAAAGAAGGACACUUUUUCCUGAAUUAAAACAGGGUUGAGCAUAUCUCUAGGUGUCCCAUUGUGAAAAAGAAAGCCAAAUGCAGCAGGUGCCUCAUGCACUGCCUCACAUGCAGAAGGGUUCUGCCUGCUGCUGCACCCCACUUGCCUCGGGGAAAUUAGUAGAGCACAGACUCCAGUCCUCUGGAGAAAGCACAGCUCCUUGAAGAUCUGCUUGUCCUUCACAUGCUAAAAUGUCAUGUAGGUGAAGCACAGGGAGGGGGACGGCACAUCUGCUGAAGAAGCUCUGAGGUAUAAUGGAGCCAUUAGAAUGAUCACAGAUUUGGUCAUUUCACAAGUACUAAGAUGUUGAGAUCAUGGGGGAAGCAAGGAUCUUACAGCAAACAGUGUCAUUUGAAAACUGGUUCUCAAAACAUAACAUUAAUAGCAACUGAUGAUUUAACAGAAGUCAGAGAAUCAUUUCAUCAGGGCUUCAGUGUUGGGCGGGGCUUGACUCAGGAGUGAUGAAGAUGCACAGGAAAAAAGUAGUGUCAGCACAUAAACCAACUCUGCAGCCUCCUCUAGCACCAGCACUCUCCUCCCAGAUGUCUGAGACACAAGUUUCCAGAUAUGAUCUAUGCAACACCACACAGCAGUGAGCAUUGUUCUUUUUCUGCAUUUGGCAUUUUAGCCUGUAAGUGUAUCAAUACCUGCCCCUUCAUUUAGAAGUGCAUUUACCUUAACUUCAGCUCUGAAAAGUUAUAAAACAAACCUUUUCCAGAGGCAAAAUUCUACCAGAAUUAUUUCCAUCUGGCUCAAUAAACCAUCACAAAUUAAAAAUGCUUGACAUUUUAAAGUGAGCUGUGCAUAUGAAUUUUAUUUCUAAACAUUCAACAAAAAGUCUUCCCUAUCCAGAGAAAUGAAUAUGGGGAUUUCAGGAUAAAUACUAGGUUGAUGGUUGGACUUGAGGAUCUUGAAGAUCUUUUCUAACCUUGAUGAAUUCAUGAUUCUUUUCAUACAAGACCUUUAAUGGAUCUCAGGGGGGUCUAUUGAUGGAAUAAAAAUAGGAAAAUAAAUAAAUAUGCAGGGAUCGUUUCAUUUGCCUCUGAAGGACAGCUGUGUCUGAGGUGAAACAUCAGCUCCCAGUGCUGUGCUGCAGCCUUACGCAGCAGCCUGGGUCACAACUUUUGGAUGUCGUAUUGAUUUGAAAUGGCAAGUUUAAUCAAAUAGACUGAAAGGAAGAAAAAAAAUAGAAAGAAGCACAGCUGCAAUAUGUUAAGACGUUGGUGUUCUUAAAAAUACAAUGAAACCAUUAAACUCUUGAGACAACCUGAAUACUAAGUGUAAAUGUCCCUCGUAAAACAGCUCCCAUGGUGGGAUCCUCUGGGGAAGCAGAUGCAGGGUGAAGUUCAGGAGCACGCUUCAACUCUUGAAGCCCUGUCCUUGUUAAAGCAUUAUUUUAAGUGAUCUUCAUUUCUCAUCUCUCUCUCUAUUAUAUUUUAUGCUUUGUUGCUCAUCAGUUGAAAAUAUUGUUACCUACAGUCAUAACAGAACAAUUUAAUAGAUAGAAGAGCAUCACUAAGCCACCAGGCAUACAUUUUACAAGCACUUGCACCUGAAUCUUUGGGGCUAUUGAUGGAACCUAAAAUUCCUGUUUUAUGUUUAAUUUGCAGUUUAGAAGACUGAAAAAUGACAAACCUUCCUGGAAAAUAGAGCCAAAAUCAUGCCUAAACCUCCCACCUGUAGUGGAUGCGCAGAUACCGAACAAAGAAUUGGGUGUGUAGGAUAUGACAUCCCAGCAAGCCACACUGGAUUUUUCCUCCCUUGUGGCCUGAUGGACCCCACCUUCAGCAGCAGCCCCAAUAGAUGACCCAGGAACAAUUUCCCUCACAGCUAAGUUGUACCUUCAAGGAGCCUGUUUCAUCAUGUCAUUAUGCACAAGUGAGAUACAACAUCAUUUACAGCAUUUACUUUCUUCUGGAGAAACAGACCUCUGCCCUUUCUAAACAGCAGUAAGAUUAAGGAAUAGUUACCUGCCAGUAUUACAUUUGCUUCGAGAACAUAGAUGAGACCUUUCAGCUGAAAGGGUAGCUUGGGCAGAUUUUAUGUUAUUUCUACCCUUAUGUCUCUUGCUGUCAAUUUCUUUUUGCUGAAAAAUCUUUAACACAAGCAUUUUUUGCAUGGAUACUGAUUGAAAGCCAUUGACAGGAAGACUGAUAUGUACACAAGCCACUAAGAGCAGCACAUAAGUGGUCUCAGACAUGCUAACAGCAUAAAACCACAAAGGACAGAAGCUCAUAUGACCACAUUCCCCCCCUCCCCCCCAUUAGUACGUCCUCCUCUUGCCAAACUCCAAGAAAUCCAAAAUUUCUAGCAGCCAUUUCCCCCAGAUUAGGCCUUUUGUUUACAUUUCGCAAAACUUUGGCUUUAUGAGUCAUGUCCAACUCUGUCGUCAAACACAGGUGCAAUUACCUUAAUGAAAGCCAUUAAUAAUUCACUGUUAUUUUAUUUUACAGUAUAAGAAGGCUUGUGACAGUUAUGAAUAACAUUCAGCAUUAUUUGCUAAGGAUUUUUUCCUUAUUUGCCCUUAUCUCUAUUAUCGUACAACCUAAUCCUCUGCCUACCUAGUCUGACUGCUUUUGCACUCCCUCAUUGUUUACCAAAUGAAUAAUUAAUGGCUGAUAACCUGCAGCCAAAUCCCUCCCAGACCAUCUCCUGCCUUGUCUAUGCCAUUUUCUAGUUUAUUUCAGCAGCUUGGUUUACAGGCCUCAAUAUCACUUACAUCUUUGAAAGAAAGAAAUGGGAGCAAAUAAAAGUGUAAUAAGGUCAAAGGUCACAUUAAUGUGAGCUAUAAUAUUUAUCUAUUUGCAGAUCUUUUUAGCAUUUGUUACAUAACAAAAUCUACUACAUCCAACCUUGUCUUCAUGAAUACAAAAGCCCACAUAGAACAACCACAACAGCAAAAAAAAAAAAAUCACUGCAGAUGCCAUUACCAGUUUCCAAAACAUCACUUGUUUCCCAGCACUAAUCUACACUGUCUUCUCUCAGCACAUCUUUCUACCUUUCAUAAGCCCCACUUAAUUCUGCAUCUCUCACAGCUCCACAGAACUUUCAUGUCCCCUUACCACUUAUAUUACCAGAUUUUGUCAAUCAGUGCACAAACACCAAAGAUGAGCUCUGUCCCAAACCACAGUGAACAGCAGACAAAAACCCACUCAGCAGAGCCAUCACAUGAGCACACACAGCCUUCUAUGCGGGGAUGAUCUUCUGCUUCCAGGCUCCACAACAAGAACUGGGUCUGAUGAUUUUUACUUUUUGUGCAGACUUCUAAAGUCUGCUUUUCAAUUUAAUAUUCAAGCUCAGCAUCUAAACUAAGAUCUAGCCCUCUUCUUGCUUUCAUUACUUCAUACUUGUAGCAUUUUUGUUCAAGUUGCUGGUGGGAAUCAGAGCCCAAAGCACUGACAGCUUCUCCCAAAUGUAUUCCUCUACAUCUGCAUAAGGAAGCUCAGGUUGCUCAGAUUGUAACAAACAAUGAACAACAUGAAUGCUAUCUGGGGUAAAUAGGCCAUUAAAUUCAAACAUUAGGCAUUCCGUUUUAUUUUUCGAAGCCACAGUUAGAGAGUUACCAGAGCUUCGGCUGCAGUAAUAAGCAGGAGUGUUCAAGUAUUGUACUAGGGUUGAAUGCACAUCAGCCUAGUUUAAACAUGCUGAAGAGGGCUUUUGCAUACAGGUUAAUGUUGAUGAACUUCAUAUUGUUCACAUAAUACCCACGCAGUUGAAAUUUUAUGAUCCACAACCACAAAAAACGGGGUUUUGGUUUUGUUGAUGGUUUGAGAUGUUAGAGAAACACUUUUGCAUUUAUCCCACUGAUUGAUAUCACAAACACAGCUACGAAUCCUUUUCAAGUUGUUAAAUAAACAUAUCUAUAAUUAAAUGCAUCACCUACUGUAAUCUUACUGAUAGAGUACAUGAUGAUGAAAGAAAGAAAUGAAAUAGAAAAUGUGAAGCUAAAAUGGCAUUGUUAUGUAAAAUGUUUAAAAUAAAAGUAAUUUAGAUUAGAUGUUUUUCAAAAGAAAUCCAAAUUCAUGCUUCAUGACAAAUAACAAACUUCUUCAAAGAAGUUCUCUCAGUCAGAAUUAAUUUGGAGUCUGAUUCCUUGCAAUGCCAAAUACCUUAAAGGCUCAGAGUCUUGAGUAUUAGUAACACCUUCACCAACAUGAACUAGUUGCAAAGUGUCUACAUUCAAGAGAAAGAAAUUGGUCAAACUGGCUGGGAAAAAAAAAUAAUCAAUAUUUAAAAACUUAAUUUGGUUCCAGUGCAUGCUCAUUUGAUAUUCAGAAAGAGACAUGGUUUCAGACAAGCCACCUCAGAAGUGCUCUCAGUGAAGAACAUUUUCCUAACACCCAACCUGACCCACCCAUGCAGCUCCAUGCUAUUCCCUCAGGUCCUGUCACUGUCACCAGAGAGCAGAGCUCAGCACUGCCACUCCACUCCCUGCAAGUAGGCCUCCAUGAGGCCUCUCCACAGCCUCCCCUGCUCUGCGCUGAACAAACCCAGGGACCUCAGCUGCUCCUCACAUGUCUUGCCCUCUAGACCCUUCACAAUCUUCACAGCCUCCUCUUUUGGAUGCUUUCUAACAGUUUUAUGUCUUCCUUAUGCUGGGAAGCCCAAACCUGCACACAGUGCUUGUGGUGAGGCUGCAUCAUGACAGAGCAGAGCAGGACAGUCCCUUCCCUUGACAGGCUAACAAUGCUGUGCUGUUGUUUAAUUAGAAAAUUAUGGCAAGUUUAAUUAUGGAAAGUUCAGAAUUCAACAGCAGUAUACUUGAGAUAGUUCCAGGACAGAAGGGAUGAAGACAAGAAGAGGGGCCAGUGGGAUGUGAGCAGUUGGCACCAGUUUCUGGAUACCAUCAUUCUCAGGCCUAAGCCUGGCAACUCAACAAAUUUCUGUCAACAUAACAUCUCUAGUAUUUCACCAGGAGACAACAUCUAAUUUCCAGUAAUUUUGGCUACUGGAGUCUAGGUUGCUGUGGUUGGAUGUUCAACUUUGUGUCAGGAGCUUUAGGUCCAUUCCUGUCAGUAUCACAGAGACAAGCAGCUGGGUUAGGUCCUUCACACCUAAAAAGGAAAUGUCAACUCAGUACAAUUCAGCAGGCCUCUUAGGCUUAUUUCAUCUAAGCACAUACAGGCAACCAUAGUUUUUGAAUGACAGGUGCUGUGAAAUAUUUUAAAAAAAUAAAUUUAAAGAGAAUAGAAUAGGGCUUUAAUUUGAAGAAAGGAAUGGGAAGAAAGUUGAAAGCCUCUUGCCAUCGUGGAUGAAAUAAGCUUAUGAAAGAUGACAUAGAUGUAUGGCAGAUAAAGAGAAGAGCCUGAAUGUUUUUUUUUGUUUGUUUGUUUUUAAGGAAGAUAUAGGGAAACGUGAAAAUCUAAGAUGCAGCAAGAGGACAUGGCUGGCAUGAGGUUACCAUGAAAUAACUGAAUGAAAUAAAGGGAUAAGACCAGAAGCUUCUAGAGGGACUUCAGAAUACACAUUAGCAUCUGGAGUUUGGACUAGCCCUAAGAGAAAAUGAAAGAGACAGACUCAGACUUGGAGGAAAUAGAAAGAAGUAAUGUUAGUAUCAUGACCAUGUAUUAAAUCAAAACAGUCAUAUCUUACCUACAUUAAAAAAAAGCAUUUUUGUAGGGAAUUCUUCUAUUAAGAAAAUGCAGGAAAUGCAAUUGCUUAGCUUGCCAGUUAAAUCCAGCAUCUAAACAUUUCUAUUUUCAUUAAAAACAAAUUAAGUUGUUCUGAGAAAUUUAAUACUCAAACUCUCUAAAGAGAUCUUUGUAAGAGGAUUUCUAAGGACCCAGCUGUUAAAGACUUUCCACUAGCAAGAUCAGAAAUGUGCAAAGACAUCUUUGAAAAAAUUAUAUCCCCCUGUAGGCUAUUCAGGGCUUCUUUAUUUUUAAUUCAUGCUGUUACCAAAAUAUCUGAGAAAUAAAAGUAACGUAUCAGAAACUCAUUAACUCUUCCUCCCCUCUAUUCUGUUACACAUGCAGUACACAAAACUUUAGAAGGAAAUUCUUUCUUUGUGUUUUAUUUCAGCCAUAAAACACGUUAUAGUACUAUUGAAUACUGCAAGAUACAUUAUGCUCCUAUGGCCUCAUGCCCUGUGGCCAAGACACGUGGAUGAGGCAGCUGAGUGUACGCCCUGUCGUGUGUACUCACUUUUUAUUGUCCAUUCAAAAAACAUCAGUUUGAAAAGGAACAGAACUGAUGCCAAGAGUACUCCAACCUGGACAAAACCUGAGACAGCCGAACUUAUAGCUAAACUGCAAGUAAAUCUGUACUCUGACUCCCUAUGCUGGAAGAAUAUUUAGUUGAUUAACUUUUCUAUUGCCACACUCUGCUUCCCUGUUACAACUAGGACUGUCAGUGGUAUCAAUAUUAAAUGAAGUUGCUCUGAAGUUGAAGUUUUUUGUUUGUUCGUUUUUUAAAAAGGAGGAACAUGUUUUUAGGCUGAAAAAAAGUAUGCACACAUAUGUACAGCUACGUUAAUUUUCAGAAAUACAGCGCUUUGUACAGGGCUCUGCCUACUCUCCCAAAUCUACAUCUGCUGACUGAGUAGGCACUCAUUUGGUUACAAGGCUUUUGAAACAAUCCUUAUGUUCAUGUAGCAAAGAACAAGCAUCCACUGCCAGAACCAUUGCCUGGGAACCUUCCGGUAGGAGAUUCAAAUAGAGUUGUAGAAGCAGUCUUUUUAAUGUAUAGUUUGCGUGCCAGGCAAAACUGUUGUGCUGGCAAAUUAACAGGUAUGUCUACAGAUAUGGGAAGAAAGCAUAUUUCCAAUUAAAUGAGAUGAUCUGUCCUAUUUUGUGGUUGUUUUUUUUUUUUUGCAUGCAAAGAUGUCCC